UGGGGAAUUUUGGACAAUGGGCGAAAGCCUGAUCCAGCAAUGCCGCGUGUGUGAAGAAGGCCUUCGGGUUGUAAAGCACUUUUGUCCGGAAAGAAAUCCUCUGGGUUAAUACCUCGGGGGGAUGACGGUACCGGAAGAAUAAGCACCGGCUAACUACGUGCCAGCAGCCGCGGUAAUACGUAGGGUGCAAGCGUUAAUCGGAAUUACUGGGCGUAAAGCGUGCGCAGGCGGUUUUGUAAGACGGAUGUGAAAUCCCCGGGCUUAACCUGGGAACUGCAUUCGUGACUGCAAGGCUAGAGUAUGGCAGAGGGGGGUUAGAAUUCCACGUGUAGCAGUGAAAUGCGUAGAGAUGUGGAGGAAUACCGAUGGCGAAGGCAGCCCCCUGGGCCAAUACUGACGCUCAUGCACGAAAGCGUGGGGAGCAAACAGGAUUAGAUACCCUGGUAGUCCACGCCCUAAACGAUGUCAACUAGUUGUUGGGGAUUCAUUUCCUUAGUAACGUAGCUAACGCGUGAAGUUGACCGCCUGGGGAGUACGGUCGCAAGAUUAAACUCAAAUGAAUUGACGGGGUCAUAGCUGUUU
rnacentral:rRNA from 1 species